rnacentral:lncRNA from 1 species
GUCCCAAUCCUCUUGCUUUGUAGUAGAUAGAACAAGUAUCUUAUUCUAAGAUUCCUCCUUUUACCAUCAAAACCAUCAUUCCACAGGCGCGAUCUUUCUUUCUUUUGGACCCACCAAGAUGGUUUCAUAUUGAAUGUCUUGGUUUAUUUGGUUUUUUUCCCUACUGGGUUUUCUUUCUGCUUCCUGGCCUCCUCAUUCUUCUACUCUUUUGGAGAAAUUGACCUUCCUUUAGGCCAUUGGUCUC